rnacentral:rRNA from 1 species
CAAGCGACUGUUUACCAAAAACAUAGGUUUCUGCUAAGUCGCAAGACGAUGUAUAGGAGCUGACGCCUGCCCGGUGCUGGAAGGUUAAGGGGAUCUGUUAGAGCAAUCGAAGCAGUGAACUUAAGCCCCAGUAAACGGCGGCCGUAACUAUAACGGUCCUAAGGUAGCGAAAUUCCUUGUCGGGUAAGUUCCGACCCGCACGAAAGGCGUAACGAUUUGGGCACUGUCUCAACAACAGACUCGGUGAA